UACGGAGGGGGCAAGCGUUAUUCGGAAUUAUUGGGCGUAAAGAGCGUGUAGGCGGCCAGGUAGGUCGGUUGUGAAAACUGGAGGCUCAACCUUCAGAGGUCGACCGAAACCAUCUGGCUAGAGUCCGGGAGAGGAGAGUGGAAUUCCUGGUGUAGCGGUGAAAUGCGCAGAUAUCAGGAAGAACACCCGUGGCGAAAGCGGCUCUCUGGAACGGUACUGACGCUGAGACGCGAAAGCGUGGGGAGCGAACAGG
rnacentral:rRNA from 1 species